CGUUUGCUUCCCUCUUAUUUGUUCCCUCUCCAUCCUUCCUUUUGUUUAAUUUUUCAUAUCCUUCCUUCUUUCCUUCCUCUCAUUCUCUGUCUUCCUCUUGUUUCUCCCAUUUCUUGCUUUGUUUCUAUUUUCUGUUUAUUUUCUCACAUGUCUUUAUUUUCUCUUUCAUGCCAGUCUUUUUUCAUGCCACUCUGGUAUUUAAAUACAUGCAAACACUGUUAUUAUUAUUAUUAUUAUUAUUAUUAUUAUUAUUAUUAUCAUCAUAUUUUUAUUAUUAUCAUCAUUUUAUUAUUACCUCGUUGCAGAGUACGCAGACAACAUCUAUACAGCCUUCCAAAUGAACAACACACACCAACAACAUCAUCAACAACCACAACAACAACAACCAUCACAGCAACAACCAGUCACAGCCACCACAACCACCACCAUCACCACCACCACCCACACCACCAACAGCAGCAAUAACCACAGCAGCAACCACAGCCAAAAACAGCAACAACAACAACAACAAAAAUUAGGCCAGACACAGUGACCUUGCUUACAACAACAACUACAAUAACAAUAACAACAACAACAACCCCACCACAACGCUUCCCACAGCCACUACCAGCCAUGUGCUUAUUAUUAUAGCAAAGACCUUCAUCUCCGGAUUAACAACAGGUCGGAGCUCACAGUCAUGUUUGUGGCUUUCUUCUGCUCCACCAGUAAGAGGGGAAGCUGUUUUUUUCUCUACAUAUAUACAAGUUUGACUAAGCACUGUUACAAACUGCAGCUGUCUGUCUUCAGGUGGACCAUUACUGCCCCGACCCAACACUUGCAGCGCAGACCUUCAGACAGUACACGCACUUCCGCCAGUGAUGCUGUGUUGUGUGAGUGUCUGACAGCAUUCUUAGAGAUGGCUGGGGACCGUCGCGUGGCUGGGUCACGAGCAGACCACGGUGGAACUCGUGGAUGAAAACCUGUGGGAGGAUUGGAAUAUGGAGUUGUGGGGUUGCUGGGACUGAGCUGAAUCCACUUACAGGGAUAAAAAGUAGUUGAAAAAUGAAUUUAUUAGUGCAAGAGAGAGAGGAAGAGAAGACAGAAGAGAGAGAAAGGAGAUAGGUGGUGGUGGUAGUAGUAGUAGUAGUAGUAGUAGUAGUAGUAGUAGUCAUUGUGUGGGCCCCUCUCUCUCUCUCUCUCUCUCUCUCUCUCUCUCUCUCUCUCUCUCUCUCUCUCUCUCUCUCUCUCUCUCUCUCAGCCCCACAGUAUGCUUACAAACCCACAGUCACCCCCCACAGCCAACCCCCACCCCUUUAUAUGUGUGUGUGUGUACUCUUCAAUAAAGGUAUAUGGUAA